rnacentral:rRNA from 1 species
GGAAGGAUCAUUAUUGAAUAAACUUGAGCAGGCUGUUGCUGGCCCCUUGGGGGGUAUUGUGCACGCUUGUCAUCUUUAUCUCUCCCACUGUGCACAUAUUGUAGACCCUGGAGUUGUAAUUGUUCAUAAUAGAUUGAGGACUGCUUCAAAGCUUUUCCUUGCUUCUCCAGGUCUAUGUCAAAAUUUUUCACAAUCUCUAAACUAGAAUGUUGAAUUGGGUCUUUGUACCUAUAAAGUUUAAAUAUACAACUUUCAGCAACGGAUCUCUUGGCUCUCGCAUCGAUGAAGAACGCAGCGAAAUGCGAUAAGUAAUGUGAAUUGCAGAAUUCAGUGAAUCAUCGAAUCUUUGAACGCAUCUUGCGCUCCUUGGUAUUCCGAGGAGCAUGCCUGUUUGAGUGUCAUUAAGUUCUCAACUACAUCAGUUCUUAACUAUUGGUGUGGCUUGGAUAGUGGGGGAAUUAUGUUUGCAGGCUUUAAACUCAAAGUCUGCUCCCCUGAAAUAUAUCAGUAGUAUCUGAGCAAAGCUACUACAGGUGUGAUAAUUAUCUAUGCCUUGGGUGGACUUGCAUGAACGGAUUGCACUGCUUCUAACAAGUGAAAACCUUUAAAAGUUUUUACCUUUGACAAAUUUGACCUCAAAUCAGGUAGGACUACCCGCUGAACUUAAGCAUAUCAAUAAGCGGAGGAAAAGAAACUAACAAGGAUUCCCCUAGUAACUGCGAGUGAAGCGGGAAGAGCUCAAAUUUGAAAUCUGGCGGCUUUUUGCUGUCCGAGUUGUAAUCUAGAGAAGUGUUACCUGUGCUGGACCAUGUAAAAGUCUCCUGGAAUGGAGCAUCAUAGAGGGUGAGAAUCCCGUCUUUGACAUGGACUACCUGUACAUUAUGGUGCGCUCUCAAAGAGUCGAGUUGUUUGGGAAUGCAGCUCAAAAUGGGUGGUAAAUGCCAUCUAAAGCUAAAUAUUGGCGAGAGACCGAUAGCGAACAAGUACCGUGA